rnacentral:lncRNA from 1 species
UUUCGUUGCUCCAUAUUUUCCAUUUUGGCUGCUACCUUCCUCCAAAUUCCUAUGAAAAACAAUAAUCAUAUGAUUACAUACUUUCAUAUUUAUUUCAGACAUGUUAGAGUAAAAUAAUCAUAAAAUAAAUUCUUAUAUAUUAAAAAAAUAAAGUUAAAAGUAAAAAAAUAAUAAAUAUAAAAACUUGAUGUAUAUUAAAGUAUCAUUUCUCAUACCAAUCUUUUAUCUUUAUCGACAUAUAUAUAGGAUCAAUUGGAACAUCACAUGACAAAUUAUACAUAUUUAAGUAUUCGAUCCGCACAUGGUGAUCUCAGAAAGCAUCUUUAAAUAUGAACCUUUUGG